rnacentral:pre_miRNA from 2 species
GGAAACUUGAAAACUACCGUUGGAUCGAGAAAUGGACGUCCGAGAUUCGUCUACGUCACCAUGAGUUAAAAUUUAACUCGCAAAUUCACUCAUGAGUUAAAAUUUUACUGGGAGUUAAAUUUUAACUCACGGUGACAUGGACAAAUCCCGGAUAUCCAUUUCUCGAUCCAACGGUAGUUUCCAAGUUUCC